GACGAACGCUGGCGGCGUGCCUAAUACAUGCAAGUGGAACGCACAGUUUAUACCGUAGCUUGCUACACCAUAAACUGUGAGUUGCGAACGGGUGAGUAACGCGUAGGUAACCUGCCUGGUAGCGGGGGAUAACUAUUGGAAACGAUAGCUAAUACCGCAUAAUAUUGAUUAUUGCAUGAUAAUUGAUUGAAAGAUGCUAUUGCAUCACUACCAGAUGGACCUGCGUUGUAUUAGCUAGUAGGUGAGGUAACGGCUCACCUAGGCGACGAUACAUAGCCGACCUGAGAGGGUGAUCGGCCACACUGGGACUGAGACACGGCCCAGACUCCUACGGGAGGCAGCAGUAGGGAAUCUUCGGCAAUGGACGAAAGUCUGACCGAGCAACGCCGCGUGAGUGAAGAAGGGUUUCGGAUCGUAAAGCUCUGUUGUAAGAGAAGAACGGGUGUGAGAGUGGAAAGUUCACACUGUGACGGUAGCUUACCAGAAAGGGACGGCUAACUACGUG
rnacentral:rRNA from 1 species